UACGUAGGGAGCGAGCGUUGUCCGGAUUCAUUGGGCGUAAAGAGCUCGUAGGCGGCUUGGUAAGUCGGAUGUGAAACCUCCAGGCUCAACCUGGAGUCGCCAUCCGAUACUGCCAUGGCUAGAGUCCGGUAGGGGCCCACGGAAUUCCUGGUGUAGCGGUGAAAUGCGCAGAUAUCAGGAGGAACACCGAUGGCGAAGGCGACUUACUGGACACAUACUGACGCUGAGGUGCGAAAGCGUGGGGAGCAAACAGG
rnacentral:rRNA from 1 species